GUGUAUGGAAGGGAAGAUUCAGUCCCAGGACUUAUUCAAAUUUAAGAGUUUGGGAUGAAAUAUUUGAAUCGAACAAGAGAAGACUUUGCCUCGGGUCUUCUACUUUCGUGAAGAAUAUUUUGUCAAUUGGUUUAUCAGAUUGUGAUGGUGUGUCAGGAGCUAAAAUCUCCAGAAAGCCACUCAUGAGGAUGAAACAAAACAAAAUACUAUUUGCAAAACGUGUUUGUAAAACAUAUUCACCAUUCAGCUUUCAAAGGCUAUUCCGUAAGCAGAGAAACGUGUACUUUAUUAGAGUGCCCUUGACUGUAAUCCUAAA